AAGAAUAAGCACCGGCUAACUACGUGCCAGCAGCCGCGGUAAUACGUAGGGUGCGAGCGUUAAUCGGAAUUACUGGGCGUAAAGCGUGCGCAGGCGGUCCGCUAAGACAGAUGUGAAAUCCCCGGGCUUAACCUGGGAACUGCAUUGGUGACUGGCGGGAUAGAGUAUGGCAGAGGGGGGUAGAAUUCCACGUGUAGCAGUGAAAUGUGUAGAGAUGUGGAGGAAUACCGAUGGCGAAGGCAGCCCCCUGGGCCAAUACUGACGCUCAUGCACGAAAGCGUGGGGAGCAAACAGGAUUAGAUACCCUGGUAGUCCACGCCCUAAACGAUGUCAACUAGUUGUUGGGUAUUCAUUUCCUUAGUAACGUAGCUAACGCGUGAAGUUGACCGCCUGGGGAGUACGGUCGCAAGAUUAAAACUCAAAGGAAUUGACGGGGACCCGCACAAGCGGUGGAUGAUGUGGAUUAAUUCGAUGCAACGCGAAAAACCUUACCUACCCUUGACAUGUAUGGAA
rnacentral:rRNA from 1 species